rnacentral:rRNA from 1 species
UACGUAGGGUGCAAGCGUUAUCCGGAAUUAUUGGGCGUAAAGAGCUCGUAGGCGGUUUGUCGCGUCUGCUGUGAAAACUGGGGGCUCAACCCCCAGCCUGCAGUGGGUACGGGCAGACUAGAGUGCGGUAGGGGAGAUUGGAAUUCCUGGUGUAGCGGUGAAAUGCGCAGAUAUCAGGAGGAACACCGGUGGCGAAGGCGGGUCUCUGGGCCGAUACUGACACUGAGGAGCGAAAGCGUGAGGAGCGAACAGG